rnacentral:rRNA from 1 species
AAUUGACGGGACCCGCACAAGCGGUGAUGAUGUGUUUAAUUCGAUGCAACGCGAAAAACCUUUACCCACCUUUGACAUGUACGGAACCCUUUAGAGAUAGAGGGGUGCUCGAAAGAGAGCCGUAACACAGGUGCUGCAUGGCUGUCGUCAGCUCGUGUCGUGAGAUGUUGGGUUAAGUCCCGCAACGAGCGCAACCCUUGUCAUUAGUUGCUACAUUCAGUUGGGCACUCUAAUGAGACUGCCGGUGACAAGCCGGAGGAAGGUGGGGAUGACGUCAAGUCCUCAUGGCCCUUAUAGGUGGGGCUACACACGUCAUACAAUGGCUGGUACAAAGGGUUGCCAACCCGCGAGGGGGAGCCAAUCCCAUAAAGCCAGUCGUAGUCCGGAUCGUAGUCUGCAACUCGACUACGUGAAGUCGGAAUCGCUAGUAAUCGUGGAUCAGAAUGUCACGGUGAAUACGUUCCCGGGUCUU